GGGGUUGUAGCUCAGUGGCAGAGUGCUUGCCUAGCAUGUGUGGGGCACUGGGUUUGACCCCAGCACCCCA
rnacentral:tRNA from 1 species